CCACUAGCUCCAGGUCACGGUCAAGCUGGACCUGCCCCAUGAGCCUUGGCAAUGGUCUGUGGAUCUCAGUCAGCCUGAAAUGAAGUUUGCAUGGAGGGCUGGCCAGCAAGUGUCUGCUCCUGCCCUUGGCUCUCCCCAGUGUCAUCCCAGCACUGUUUGCUGACUCUCUAAGCUAAUCACUUCUGGGAAAGCUCACGCCUCCCUGGCUCUUGAUAAGGGGCAAGGAGAGUAAUCAAGACAGGAGGCUGUCACGAUAGCUAGCACCCAAGUGGACUCACAGAAGCUGCCAAGAGAAUGACCUUCCUUAACUCGUGGACAGAGGUCACCAAGAUUCUUCCCGACUGAGAUGUGUUGCUCUUGCAGACCAAGAUGUUUAUUAGUUCUACUAAUUCAAUAAAUACAUUCCUUAUCUACCAAGAGAACAGGAUAUACCAAGCUUGCGUUACCACAUGCAGAAUCUCUUACAAGCCUCAGAAGGCUUCUCCUGUCUGUGAAAGGCCAAGCAUGUGGUUGUCUCUGUGAAGAAGGCUCUGAAUGUUGCUGAUCCUGGGAUAAUCAGCCAGGAAGGCCGAAGCUCCCGGAGCAGACAAGGUGACUCAGGGCUGGCAGCCACAGCAUCUCCACAGCAGAAUCUUGGUCUCUGGGCAGAAGAUGCUGCAGCAAGCUGCUGGACUGAGCUGCUUCCUGCCCCCUCAGACCUAAUGAGAAGAGACAGGCCUACCAGUGUCUGCUGGAUGGGGGUAGGAGUGUCUGUGCGGACCAUGUGGAUCCUUCCCUGGGCAGGCUGACAGCCCCGCAGGUCUUUUAACACUGGAGGGGAAAUUCCCUGCCUCUUGCGGGGAUGGAGCAUACUGCAGUACCGUCACCAGGCUCCUCACCAACUCUGCUGAGUUCAGAGCUGAGCCUUCCCCCAAGUCAGAGCACGGAGAGUUGAGGAGCAAGAGUGAGGCCUUCAGGAGAGGUAAAAGGUCAGGGCUUGUCCUGCAAGGGAGAGGGCACAGGGAGCAGAUGUAUGUAAGAGAUGAUAAGAGCCACUCAGCCUUCUCCUGCACCCCAUACUGGAUGCAGUGUGAUGUAGAUUAGUGGUUGAAAUACGUAUAGAGUGCUCCCACCGCUGUUCUGAGUGCUUGCCUGAGACUCCUGGCAUAAAAGACACACUAACAAGAGAAAAAGAAACAGAAGUUUAUUGGCCUGCAUACACAAGUCUACAUGGGAGAGACCUAGAGAAAAAUGAAUAACUCUAGGAGGUGGCUUGGAACUCAAGCUUAAAUGCCAUCUUCAGCUAAAGACAAAAGAGAGCAAGGUGUCAGGGAGGCCAGUUCUGGGGUGAUGACCAGGAAAAGCACAGCAAACAAGGAUAAAAUUUGUAACACGGAUUUAAGCUGGUGCCUUCAUCACUAGUGAGAUUCUACAGUUGUCUCUGUGGAUUAACCUUUGUUCUUCCUGGUCCAGAGAGAAGGAGGGACACAUUUGUACGUUUAUGUCCUGCUUUUAGGCAAACAAGGGAGGGUAGAGAGUUUUUCUUGUAUCUGCUUCUUUGCGGUUGCCUUCAGCUCAAAAUAAUCCUUAUGCCCAAGAAGUGUUCUCUGGGAGUGGCAUAUUCUGUUUGGAGACAUCUAUUUGGAAAUGUGUCUGAAAUCUGGCAAACCUUGGUUCAAAUUCUAGCUCCACUUCUUAUAGGUAAGUUACUCAAUGCCUAUGAGUCUCAAUUUAGGUAAAAUGGAGAUAAUAACUGAGCUGAUUUCCAAGAGUGGUAGCAAUGACUUGAUGAGAUUGUAUUCAUUUGCUGGGGCUGCCAUAGUAAAGUACCACAACUUGGGAGGCUUAAGCAGAAGAAAUGUAUUGUCUUGCAGUUCUGGAGGGUAGAAGCCUAAACUGAGGUGUCAGCAGAGCUGGUUCCUUCUGAGAGCUGUGAGGGAGAAUCUGGGCCAUGCCUUUCUCCAGACCCCUAACCUCUAACCUAAACUCUGUCUCCUCUCCUUCCUGACUUGAGGGUUCGGCUGUCAUCCCUAAUACAGAAAGUGUCACCUGUGCAUGAUAUGAAGUGUUGAGAUCGUCAGGUGUGUGGACCACAGCCUCUGGCUGCUAGACUGAUCCUAGUUCCUGACCAGUGAGUAAAGUCUGCCUCCCCAUCUCUGAUGAUCUGCACCCUGGGACCUCACUUCAGCUGCUAGAAAAGGAUAUGGGUAAUGGUUUAGAAUGUGGACCCUAAAGUCAGUUACCUCCUAGCUCAAGGACUGGCAGGCUACAGCCUGUGGGCCAUAUCUGUCUCACUGCCUGGUUUUGUAAAUCAAGUUUUAUUGGGACAUAUAGUGGUGGUUCAGAGGGUGAAGAAUCUGUCCGCAAUGCGAGAGAUCCAGGUUCGAUCCCUGGGUUGGGAAGAUCCCCUGGAGAAUGGAAUGACUACCCACUCCAGUCUUCUUACCUCGAGAAUCUCAUGGACAGAGGAGCCUGGAGAGCCUCAGUCCAUGGGAUUGCAUAGAGUUGGACAGGGCUGAACAACUGACCCUACUGGGACUCAGCCACAUCCAUUUAUUAACAUAUUGCUUACGGCUGCUUUCGCUUUACAAAUGCAGAGUUGCGGACUUAACAAUGGAGACCACAUGGCUUGCAAAGCUAAAUACUUAUAUACUAUCUGGGUUGUUAUGAGAAAAGGCAAAUAUCUUAACCUCUCGUGCCUCACUUUGCAAUUAUUAAUUGGAAGUGGUAAUGAUACCUUCUUCUUGGUAUCUUCCCCCUAUUAAAAUGGAGUUGUGAUUACUGUUUGAUAUAUCAUGCUGCUUAGGCUAUGAAUAUUAUUAUUACAUAAGUAUUAUUAUUACACAAACUGCAGCCAAACUCCAUGGACUCAGAGCCACGUGCUCUCAGCUGGAGGUGUAGCUAGGGCCCAAGGCCAGAGCACACAGCCUUGAUGGGGGGCUUUAGCCUCUCUGAGCCCACAGCAUCUUCCAGCCUGAGAAGACCUUCUCUGGCUCCUUCUGGCUUGCAUAGAUAGGCCUGGUGUCCCUCUAGUUUUCAUUUCCAGGCUGCCCCAGACCUGGAUGUCACACCUGCCCCUGUCCACACCAUUUCACUUGACUACUAUUUAUUGACAACCUAUAUGUGUGCAGAGACUCUUAAGCAGGGCAUUCACACAUCUAGAGAUAAACAUGACACCAUCCCUGCCUUCAAAUUUAUCCCCUCCUUCCAUUCCUUAUAUAACAGGGCACCUGGUAGCUCGGACCUUACCAUUUUUGAAGUAGAAAAAAUUUUUUUAAAAAUAAUGCAGUGUCUGUCUUUUAGGGUGGAGCCUGUCCCUUUAUUCUUGGCCAGACCUCUUGAGUGGGUCCUUGUGGUUAUGCAAAUGAGAAGCAAGUGCUCUCCUUGAUACUUGGAGAAGACCUAAAUGCGAUGUUAGGUGUACUGCUUAGUAAUGUAAAUCAGGAGGGUAUUUUAGCAGAGCCAUGCCUCUGCAAAUUAUGUUUCCUUUAGAGAAAUCUUUCCUUUCUAAUUCUGGAUCCAGACUGGCCCGAGCAGCCUAUAAAUUGUCGCCUUUGUACCAAGAUGGUGAGAGUUUUCUUUGAGCCCUUGAUGGAAGGGAAGGAGGGACUGGGGAAGUGGGGAGCACAGAGGGGUGUGGAGCUGAACCUCCGGGCACUGCAGGGGACAGACUGGGGAAAGGUCUGGACUGGCCUCAGCCAGCACAGCCUGGCUCCACCAGUCUGGACCCAGACUUUGGGAAAUGUGCCAUAAGAUUCUCGAGGGGUUGUCUUAUUGGGGACCUGGUGCUAGACCCCUGUGGGUGGGUGGGGUCAGUUUCAGUGGGGACCCCGUUGUCCAGCAUUUGGGGAUAGGAUUUGAGGACUUGGGAGGCAGAUCUGUGCUUGGAGGGGAAGAAUUGCCCAGCGUCUAAGCAGGGAACCAGUCCAGGAAGAGGUUUUGAGGUCAGGUUUGGGGCUAGCUUUUCCAAGGAUGACCACUUCUAGGAGUAGUUCUAAAUUGUGCCUUAUGCUGUACUUCGUUUUCUUUAGUCCGAAAUCUUCAAUAAUCCUCCCUAAAGUUCUAGCUUGUUCUCAGCACUAAUAUAACUAAUAUAGGGAUUAGCAAACUUGGGAAAGAGAUGACACAGGUUCAGAAGAGCAGCCACAUCCUGAGCCAGGGCAUCAGAGGUGGCCAUCUGCGGGCAUCAGGCGGGUCACCUGGGCUCAGCAGCCUCCUGACCUCACCUGCGGCCAUGGCAGCAGCUCCUUCCAGAACACCCUGUGCUGUACCUGGGGAGACUCUCAGAAGGAGCUGGAGGACUGGUUGAGGGGUCCAUUUCCAGCAGUGAGGGAGAUGUUAUCCCAGACAAGGCAGAAAUGGCAGCCUGUCUCCCUUCACUUUUUUGCCUGCUAAACCAAACCACUGGAAAUGGUCUGUGCUUCCUUUUUCCCUGGCACAUUUCACUGUCACCUUUCCCCUGGUUGACAUGCAGGAUCUAAAUACCUUUAAUACCUAUUUGGCCUAUUGAUGUUAGACAUGACAGAGAGCCCUUGUGAUAAAUAAAACCACCUGUGACAGAUUGUCUGGAGCAGCCAGACUCUUCAGCACAUGUGAAUAGGCGCUAAAGGUCAGGUGCCAAGAGUUCACAAGGCAGAGGGAGGAGGGGACCUCUCAGGACAAGCAUCCCUGGAAUACAGGCUGCGGUUGUGAUGGCCGGUGGCCCUCUUGCUAAUUGCCAUGGUGGUGAGAGGGGGUUGAAACGAAGGUGGCCGUGCAGAGUUGCAACAGGAGAGAGGGGCUUUCUCUGUCUUACUGAAGCAUCUUCUGAGUGUCCUGCUUUUUGAGCUUGACAGGUAACACUUUUUAAAAGAUAGUUUUAUUUAUUUAUUUAUGUUCGACUGUCCUGGGUCUUUGUUGCUGCAUGGGCUUUCCCCUAUUUGCGGCAAGUGGGGACUGUUCUCUCGUUGCAGCGCUUGGGUUUCUCAUUGCAGUGGCUUCUUUUGUUAGGAAACACAAGCUCUAGGCACACAGGCUUCAGCAGUUUGGGCACGUGGGCUCUCGAGCACAGGCUCAGUAGUUGUGGUGCACAGGUUAUUUGCUCCACGGCAUGCGGGAAUCUUCCUGGACCAGGGAUUGAAGCUAUGUCUCCAGCAUUGGCAGGUGGAUCCCUUACCACUGAGCACUGGGGAAACCCCAACUUAUUUCCUAGUUCCUAUCAUUCAGUAAAAUCUCUGGGGCUUCUAUGAGUUAGAUGUCCUGACUCUGUCUGCUGGUGCUGGUAUCAGGAUGGUUCUCCAUGGGGGAAAUGGGAGCUGGGGGCUGGAACUAGCUGUGUGUAGCAAGGCAGCAGAUUACAAGCAAGUUCUGUCUGAGAGGACCCACAUAAGAAAUGAUAGCAGAGGGAAGAGCGAGAAGAAAUUGUAAGGAGGAAAACAUUUAGUGUAUGAAUCAAUCUCCUUGCAUACCUUUGGGGCCCUGAAGUCACAGUCUCCUUUGCAAAGGGACCGUAUGGAUUAAGCAGCACUUUAUUUGGAAAACUCAGGCCAACAGCUUGCUUUUGAAUGGCUUGGAGCCAGAUGCCUGUUGGUGUAUUAGUGUAAUAUCUGCCAGGUCCUACCUAUAGGUGAUUUGCAUGGGUGGUCCCUGCCCCUGGGUAGAGGGCUUGGUGCUCUUUCCAUGACUCUAUUUAAGAAGGUCCUCAAAGCAUAAAAGGAGGACAGGACAAAUGGGCUGUAAGUCAUGUGGUUUGGAGAGAGCCUAGUGACCUACAGUAGUGGCUCUCUCUUUCUUCCCCCGUUUUCCUUACUUCAUAAACACCUAGUUACAAGCUGUACAAAUCAAAAAAUAAUAUUAAUGAAGGGAGAGGAGGAUGUAGGGAAGAUGUUUAUGAUGUGUCUAUGGGGUCGCAUAGAGUCGGACACGACUGAAGCGAGUUAGCAGCAGUAGCAGUAGCAGCAGCAGCAGCAGCAACAGCAGGGAGCACAAAGGGAGGAAGGGGUGGGAACCAGCCCUCUCCCUCCACACACAGUCCCAGACGAGGGCUAUGACCCCUGCAGCAGGGGAUCUGAGGGGGAGCUGGGUAGAGAUCCAGGGUAGCUGAGGGAUGGAAGAGACCUCUAAACCCAGAGCUCACCCCAAAACCCUUCAGUGCAUGGCAGAGGGAGAACGGGGCAAGUGAGAAGGUUCCAAGAUGGAGCAGCAACAUGAAAAAUCAAGGUAGAGAAUACAGGAGAAGUGGAGUCAACAUGGAAAGGAGGCUGAAGAAGGGAGAAGUUGGCAAAGGGGAGUGGAAGAUGGAGGCAGUGAGCCCUGUGCCUUGGAGCUGGAAUGCCUGUGAUUUCAGGAGAAGGAAGCUGGGCAGAGCCCACAGAGAGACUGACAGGUCUCCUCUGCCCCCAAAGCGGAGGAGCGAUGUUCUGGACUGCUGUGGGGCUGAGGUCGUUUUUCUGGAUAUAAUGCAGACAAAGAUCCGGAACCUAUGACUUUUCCUUUAGGAAUUGAGUUUUCCAGGGGAGGACAUUUAAUAAGUUUCACUCAGGAAGUCUCUGUUACCAAUAAAGACUUAACAAAGUUAAUUAGACUAAACAGCAAUUAUUGUG
ensembl:lncRNA